CCUACGGGUGGCAGCAGUGAGGAAUAUUGGUCAAUGGACGAGAGUCUGAACCAGCCAAGUAGCGUGAAGGAUGACUGCCCUAUGGGUUGUAAACUUCUUUUAUAUGGGAAUAAAAUGUUCCACGUGUGGGAUUUUGUAUGUACCAUAUGAAUAAGGAUCGGCUAACUCCGUGCCAGCAGCCGCGGUAAUCCGGAGGAUCCGAGCGUUAUCCGGGUUUAUUGGGUUUAAAGGGAGCGUAGGUGGAUUGUUAAGUCAGUUGUGAAAGUUUGCGGCUCAACCGUAAAAUUGCAGUUGAAACUGGCAGUCUUGAGUACAGUAGAGGUGGGCGGAAUUCGUGGUGUAGCGGUGAAAUGCUUAGAUAUCACGAAGAACUCCGAUGGCGAAGGCAGUUCACUGGACUGCAACUGACACUGAGGCUCGAAAGUGUGGGUAUCAAACAGGAUUAGAUACCCCGGUAGUC
rnacentral:rRNA from 1 species